rnacentral:rRNA from 1 species
GAUAAACGUUUGCGGUGCGCCUUAUGCAUGCAAGUUGUACGGGGUUAUGGUUUUCGGACUGUAACCUAGUGGCGAACGGCUGAGUAACACGUAAGUAACCUACCUCCAAGUGGGGGAUAACCUGUCGAAAGACAGACUAAUACCGCGUGUGGUAAUCAAGGAUUGCUUGGUUAUCAAAGCCUUAGGGCGCUUAGAGAGGGGCUUGCGUUUGAUUAGCUAGUUGGUAGGGUAAUGGCCUACCAAGGCAAUGAUCAGUAGCUGGUCUGAGAGGAUGUCCAGCCAGAUGGGGACUGAGAUACGGCCCUAACUCCUAUGGGAGGCAGCAGCAAGGAAUAUUGGGCAAUGGGCGAAAGCCUGACCCAGCGACACCGCGUGAGGGAAGAAGGCCUUCGGGUUGUAAACCUCUUUUCUCGAGGAAGAAUUUUGACGGUACUCGAGGAAUAAGUCUCGGCUAACUACGUGCCAGCAGCCGCGGUAAUACGUAGGAGGCGAACGUUAUUCGGAUUUACUGGGCGUAAAGAGAGCGUAGGUGGUUCCUUAAGUCAGGUGUGAAAUCUUCUGGCUCAACCAGGAGACGUCAUCUGAUACUGUGGAGCUUGAGGGCAGCAGAAGGAAAUGGAAUUCCCAGUGUAGCGGUGAAAUGCGUUGAUAUUGGGAAGAACACCAGUGGCGAAGGCGAUUUCCUAGGUUGUUCCUGACACUGAGGCUCGAAAGCGUGGGGAGCGAAGCGGAUUAGAUACCCGCAUAGUCCACGCCGUAAACGGUGGACACUAGAUAUGGGAAGUAUCGACCCUUUCCGUGUCGAAGCUAACGCUUUAAGUGUCCCGCCUGGGGAGUACGGCCGCAAGGCUA